AGCUUAUCGAAUCCAUGCUGAGAUUUCGUCAGACACCAACCUAUUAGGGCUGAUCAGACUUCCAAGAUAGGUGAAGUU
rfam:Schistosoma margrebowiei strain Zambia genome assembly, scaffold: SMRZ_scaffold0005097